rnacentral:rRNA from 1 species
UGGGGAAUAUUGGACAAUGGGCGCAAGCCUGAUCCAGCCAUGCCGCGUGAGUGAUGAAGGCCUUAGGGUUGUAAAGCUCUUUUGUACGGGAAGAUAAUGACGGUAGCCGUAGAAGAAGCCCCGGCUAACUUCGUGCCAGCAGCCGCGGUAAUACGAAGGGGGCUAGCGUUGUUCGGAAUUACUGGGCGUAAAGCGCGCGUAGGCGGACAUUUAAGUCAGGGGUGAAAUCCCGGGGCUCAACCCCGGAACUGCCUUUGAUACUGGGUGUCUAGAGUCCGGAAGAGGUGAGUGGAAUUGCGAGUGUAGAGGUGAAAUUCGUAGAUACUCGCAGGAACACCAGUGGCGAAGGCGGCUCACUGGUCCGGUACUGACGCUGAGGUGCGAAAGCGUGGGGAGCAAA